rnacentral:rRNA from 1 species
AUUGAACGCUGGCGGCAGGCUUAACACAUGCAAGUCGAACGAGUGGCGGAAGGGUGAGUAAUGCUUGGGAAUCUAGCUUAUGGAGGGGGAUAACUACGGGAAACUGUAGCUAAUACCGCGUAACAUAGGAUGAGCCCAAGUGGGAUUAGGUAGUUGGGGGGGUAAAGGCUCACCAAGACGACGAUCUCUAGCUGGUCUGAGAGGAUGACCGGCCACACUGGGACGGAUACACGGCCCAGACUCCUACGGGAGGCAGCAGUGGGGAAGCUUGGGCAAUGGGGGUAGCCUGACGCAGCCAUGCCGCGUGUAUGAAGAAGGCCUUCGGGUUGUAAAGUUCUUUCGGUAGCGAGGCGUUAACUACAGAAGAAGCACCGGCUAACUCCGUGCCAGCAGCCGCGGUAAUAC